rnacentral:rRNA from 1 species
GACGAACGCUGGCGGCGUGCUUAACACAUGCAAGUCGAACGGAAAGGCCUGCUUUCCCUUGUGGAUUGCGGGUACUCGAGUGGCGAACGGGUGAGUAACACGUGAGUGAUCUGCCCCCAACUUGGGUAUAAGCCUGGGAAACUGGGUCUAAUUCCCGAUAGGACUGCAGGGUGGUGCCUGUGGUGGAAAACGAUUUUCUAGUGGUUGGGGAUGAGCUCGCGGCCUAUCAGCUUGUUGGUGGGGUAAUGGCCUACCAAGGCGGCGACGGGUAGCCGGCCUGGGAGGGUGGACGGCCACAUUGGGACUGGGAUACGGCCCAGACUCCUACGGGAGGCAGCAGUGGGGAAGAUUGCACAAUGGGCGGAAGCCUGAUGCAGCGACGCCGCGUGGGGGAUGACGGCAUUCGGGUUGUAAACUCCUUUCGACCGCGAGGAAGCCACCUGGUUGGAAGGGUGGUGACGGUAGUGGUAGAAGAAGCACCGGCUAACUACGUG